rnacentral:rRNA from 1 species
GAUGAACGCUGGCGGCGUGCCUAAUACAUGCAAGUCGAGCGAACGGACGAGAAGCUUGCUUCUCUGAUGUUAGCGGCGGACGGGUGAGUAACGCGUGGAUAACCUACCUAUAAGACUGGGAUAACUUCGGGAAACCGGAGCUAAUACCGGAUAAUAUUUUGAACCGCAUGGUUCAAAAGUGAAAGACGGUCUUGCUGUCACUUAUAGAUGGAUCCGCGCUGCAUUAGCUAGUUGGUAAGGUAACGGCUUACCAAGGCAACGAUGCAUAGCCGACCUGAGAGGGUGAUCGGCGACACUGGAACUGAGACACGGUCCAGACUCCUACGGGAGGCAGCAGUAGGGAAUCUUCCGCAAUGGGCGAAAGCCUGACGGAGCAACGCCGCGUGAGUGAUGAAGGUCUUCGGAUCGUAAAACUCUGUUAUUAGGGAAGAACAUAUGUGUAAGUAACUGUGCACAUCUUGACGGUACCUAAUCAGAAAGCCACGGCUAACUACGUG